CGGGGUAUAGCGCAGUUGGUAGCGCGCAUCGUUCGGGACGAUGAGGUCGCCAGUUCGAGUCUGGCUACCCCGACAA
rnacentral:tRNA from 1 species